ACAUGCAAGUCGAGCGGACAGAUGGGAGCUUGCUCCCUGAUGUUAGCGGCGGACGGGUGAGUAACACGUGGGUAACCUGCCUGUAAGACUGGGAUAACUCCGGGAAACCGGGGCUAAUACCGGAUGGUUGUUUGAACCGCAUGGUUCAAACAUAAAAGGUGGCUUCGGCUACCACUUACAGAUGGACCCGCGGCGCAUUAGCUAGUUGGUGAGGUAACGGCUCACCAAGGCAACGAUGCGUAGCCGACCUGAGAGGGUGAUCGGCCACACUGGGACUGAGACACGGCCCAGACUCCUACGGGAGGCAGCAGUAGGGAAUCUUCCGCAAUGGACGAAAGUCUGACGGAGCAACGCCGCGUGAGUGAUGAAGGUUUUCGGAUCGUAAAGCUCUGUUGUUAGGGAAGAACAAGUACCGUUCGAAUAGGGCGGUACCUUGACGGUACCUAACCAGAAAGCCACGGCUAACUACGUGCCAGCAGCCGCGGUAAUACGUAGGUGGCAAGCGUUGUCCGGAAUUAUUGGGCGUAAAGGGCUCGCAGGCGGUUUCUUAAGUCUGAUGUGAAAGCCCCCGGCUCAACCGGGGAGGGUCAUUGGAAACUGGGGAACUUGAGUGCAGAAGAGGAGAGUGGAAUUCCACGUGUAGCGGUGAAAUGCGUAGAGAUGUGGAGGAACACCAGUGGCGAAGGCGACUCUCUGGUCUGUAACUGACGCUGAGGAGCGAAAGCGUGGGGAGCGAACAGGAUUAGAUACCCUGGUAGUCCACGCCGUAAACGAUGAGUGCUAAGUGUUAGGGGGUUUCCGCCCCUUAGUGCUGCAGCUAACGCAUUAAGCACUCCGCCUGGGGGAGUACGGUCGCAAGACUGAAACUCAAAGGAAUUUGACGGGGGCCCGCACAAGCGGGUGGAGCAUG
rnacentral:rRNA from 1 species